UACGUAGGGGGCAAGCGUUGUCCGGAAUCAUUGGGCGUAAAGCGCGUGUAGGCGGGUCGGUAAGUCCGCUCUGAAAGCCCGGGGCUCAACCCCGGGAGGCGGGUGGAUAUUGUCGACCUCGAGUCCGGAAGAGGCGAGUGGAAUUCCUGGUGUAGCGGUGAAAUGCGCAGAUAUCAGGAGGAACACCAAUGGCGAAGGCAGCUCGCUGGGACGGUACUGACGCUGAGACGCGAAAGCGUGGGGAGCAAACAGG
rnacentral:rRNA from 1 species